UACAGAGGGGGGCAAGCGUUGUUCGGAAUUACUGGGCGUAAAGGGCGCGUAGGCGGCCUUCUAAGUCGAACGUGAAAUCCCCCGGGCUCAACCCGGGAACUGCGUCCGAGACUGGAAGGCUCGAAUCCGGGAGAGGGAUGUGGAAUUCCAGGUGUAGUGGUGAAAUGCGUAGAUAUCUGAAGGAACACCAGUGGCGAAGGCGGCUUUCUGGCCUAUUCUUGACGCUGAGGCGCGAAAGCUAGGGGAGCGAACGGG
rnacentral:rRNA from 1 species